rnacentral:tRNA from 1 species
CAGGGAGACAACAAAAUGUUUAAUAUUAUUAUUUUGUCACCUUAGGUCGAUCGGUAUCUCACGUUUUUAAUUUAUUAAAAAUUUCAUUUCCUAAGUUUUUCUAGGUCACACCCAUUAUUUUUCCUGGGCCAUUAGCUCAGGUGGUUAGAGCGCACCCCUGAUAAGGGUGAGGUCCCUGGUUCAAGUCCAGGAUGGCCCAUAUCUCUAUGUUGGGGGUAUAGCUCAGUUGGUAGAGCGCCUGCUUUGCAAGCAGGAUGUCAGCGGUUCGAGUCCGCUUACCUCCACUGAUUACCACCUCUUUCAUAACAGGUAGAUAAGGAAAUGUUUUGAGUAGUGAUCAAAUUCUGAAAGAAUCUAGCUUCCUAAUGAAAUCAUUAAGAUGCUGGACUCAUUGAAUUAAUUUCAUUGUUUUCAGAGAACCUUGACAACUGCAUAGACUAUUUUUAAAGACAAUAAGCAUCUUGAAUGAUGCAGAUUUAUUAUUUGUGCGAAUGCAUUAAUAACAAUUCUAUUAAGCUGAUGCUUCGAUUUUUGAAGUUAUU